GACGAACGCUGGCGGCGUGCUUAACACAUGCAAGUCGAACGGAAAGGCCCUUCGGGGUACUCGAGUGGCGAACGGGUGAGUAACACGUGGGUGAUCUGCCCUGCACUUUGGGAUAAGCCUGGGAAACCGGGUCUAAUACCGAAUAGGACCACGCGCUUCAUGGUGUGUGGUGGAAAGCUUUUGCGGUGUGGGAUGGGCCCGCGGCCUAUCAGCUUGUUGGUGGGGUAAUGGCCUACCAAGGCGACGACGGGUAGCCGGCCUGAGAGGGUGACCGGCCACACUGGGACUGAGAUACGGCCCAGACUCCUACGGGAGGCUGCAGUGGGGAAUAUUGCACAAUGGGCGCAAGCCUGAUGCAGCGACGCCGCGUGAGGGAUGACGGCCUUCGGGUUGUAAACCUCUUUCAAUAGGGACGAAGCGCAAGUGACGGUACCUAUAGAAGAAGCACCGGCCAACUACGUGCCAGCAGCCGCGGUAAUACGUAGGGUGCGAGCGUUGUCCGGAAUUACUGGGCGUAAAGAGCUCGUAGGUGGUUUGUCGCGUUGUUCGUGAAAACUCACAGCUUAACUGUGGGCGUGCGGGCGAUACGGGCAGACUAGAGUACUGCAGGGGAGACUGGAAUUCCUGGUGUAGCGGUGGAAUGCGCAGAUAUCAGGAGGAACACCGGUGGCGAAGGCGGGUCUCUGGGCAGUAACUGACGCUGAGGAGCGAAAGCGUGGGGAGCGAACAGGAUUAGAUACCCUGGUAGUCCACGCCGUAAACGGUGGGUACUAGGUGUGGGUUCCUUCCUUGGGAUCCGUGCCGUAGCUAACGCAUUAAGUACCCCGCCUGGGGAGUACGGCCGCAAGGCUAAAACUCAAAGGAAUUGACGGGGGCCCGCACAAGCGGCGGAGCAUGUGGAUUAAUUCGAUGCAACGCGAAGAACCUUACCUGGGUUUGACAUGCACAGGACGCCGGCAGAGAUGUCGGUUCCCUUGUGGCCUGUGUGCAGGUGGUGCAUGGCUGCCGUCAGCUCGUGUCGUGAGAUGUUGGGUUAAGUCCCGCAACGAGCGCAACCCUUGUCCUAUGUUGCCAGCGGGUUAUGCCGGGGACUCGUAGGAGACUGCCGGGGUCAACUCGGAGGAAGGUGGGGAUGACGUCAAGUCAUCAUGCCCCUUAUGUCCAGGGCUUCACACAUGCUACAAUGGCCGGUACAAAGGGCUGCGAUGCCGUGAGGUGGAGCGAAUCCUUUCAAAGCCGGUCUCAGUUCGGAUCGGGGUCUGCAACUCGACCCCGUGAAGUCGGAGUCGCUAGUAAUCGCAGAUCAGCAACGCUGCGGUGAAUACGUUCCCGGGCCU
rnacentral:rRNA from 1 species